rnacentral:rRNA from 1 species
UACGUAGGGGGCUAGCGUUGUCCGGAAUCAUUGGGCGUAAAGCGCGUGUAGGCGGUCCGGUAAGUCCGCUGUGAAAGUCGAGGGCUCAACCCUCGAAAGCCGGUGGAAACUGUCGGGCUAGAGUAUGGAAGAGGCGAGUGGAAUUCCUGGUGUAGCGGUGAAAUGCGCAGAUAUCAGGAGGAACACCAAUUGCGAAGGCAGCUCGCUGGGACGUUACUGACGCUGAGACGCGAAAGCGUGGGGAGCAAACAGGAUUAGAUACCCCGGUAGU